rnacentral:rRNA from 1 species
UACGUAGGGUGCGAGCGUUAAUCGGAAUUACUGGGCGUAAAGCGUGCGCAGGCGGUUUUGUAAGCCAGAUGUGAAAGCCCCGGGCUUAACCUGGGAAUGGCAUUUGGGACUGCAAGGCUAGAGUGCGGCAGAGGAGACUGGAAUUCCUGGUGUAGCAGUGAAAUGCGUAGAUAUGCGGAGGAACACCGAUGGCGAAGGCAAUCCCCUGGGCCUGCACUGACGCCUCAUGCACGAAAGCGUGGGGAGCAAACAGGA